AUCAGGGACCCCCUUCCCCCAAUCACUUAGUUCAUGCUCUCUUCUCUCUGCUGCCAUCGGGAAGGUGGUACGGGAGCAUCAGGUUCAGGAACAGUUAUUACCCUCAACCAUCAGGCUCUUGAACCAGGGGUUGGGUGUUUGAUGUUUCCUUUGAACAGGUUCCACGGUGUUUCUCGUUUCGUGGCUAUCUGCAGUAGGAGGUGACGGGACGUGAGUUACCCCUAUUAACUGUGCUUUCGAAAAGAGAGAGAGAGAGUUAUUUACCACCGAUACCUUGUUUUGAAAAGAGAGAGAGAGAUGAAGACUAACUGUUGGACUGUCACUUUAAGGCAUGAGAAAGAACUGGUCAACUUUUGGAUUUCUGCUGAGUUGGAGAGAGAUGGCACCGGGCAGCUUGUAAGUUGCUAUGGUGACCAAAGCCAGGUUGUUGACACUUCUCAAGGACAGUUCGCCUGCUUGUGCAUUUCUUCACAGAGAGAGGAGGGAGGAGUUAUUUGAAUAACAAUUGAUGCUCAGCACGGGAAGAUAAAAUAGGAGGUCAGAUGAUACAGACCUCAGACACACGUUCUGGACACUGAAUGAGCAUUGCUGUGCCCGCAGAAAAAGUGGGUUUUGGAGGAUCGAUCAGGCGGAUCGAUCCAUUGCUCUUGCAGUGGAAAGAAGGAAAAGGAGUUGACUGGUGGGGAGUUGUCCAUGUGUCCACCCUCGCCUGGGGGACAGCUCCACCACAGAAAACUGGUCCCCCUUGUUACAGUCACAGUCGAUGACUUUUAAAGGGUUUCGAAGGACAAUGAGAAGAUUGACGGCGUCAGCUCACCUGAAGACUCAAAUCUCUCCCCCCUCUCUCUCCAUCACUACUCAACUCAAUACCACGAACUGAACUGAACUUUACUCAUCAUCGUAAGACUGUAUCUAUUUACCCCUAGACUUGAAGCUUGGUUUUUCAUACAUAUAUAUUCCACACUUACUUUUAUGUAAUAAUUGCUAACCUGUUUGAUUUAUCUACAUUUAUAUUACUGUAUUGCGCAGUUACUAAUAAAUAUUAGUAGUUUAUAGCAAUACUGGGCUCCAAAGUGUUUUCCAUCUCUGCUGUUUCUUUAUUCCUGUCACAGGGUUCGUGACACUUAUAUAUACGUGCCCUGUGUGCCUUGUGCUAUGUAUGACAGUGGGUACACUGUUUUGCAGCUUGGCCCCAGAAUAACACUGUUUCAUUUGGCUGUAUUCAGGGGUAUUCAUGUGUGGUUGA